rnacentral:misc_RNA from 1 species
GAUGAAGAACGUAGCGAAAUGCGAUAAUUAAUGUGAAUUGCAGAAUUUAGUGAAUCAUCGAAUCUUUGAACGCACAUUGCGCCCCUUGGUAUUCCGGGGGGCAUGCCUGUUCGAGCGUCAUUUCAACCCUCAAGCACUGCUUGGUCUUGGGCCACGCCGGCGACGGCAGGCCUCAAACGUAGUGGCGGCACCAUCGGUUCCCUCAGUGUAGUAAUAUCUCUCGCUGCUGGGCCCUGGUGGUCGCUAGCCAGCAACCUCAAUUUUUUCUGGUUGACCUCGGAUCAGGUAGGGAUACCCGCUGAACUUAAGCAUAUCAUAAGCGGAGGA